rnacentral:lncRNA from 1 species
AGGUGAUGUUCUGGUUACUUCUGAGAGCACAGCCAGAAGCUCGGGUGCCAGCCACCUGGACCCUGCAAUGCCCACCCUGCCCCAAUCUCUACUGCCAAGGAGGCCAGUGGAAGGACCAGUGAGUUUGAAGGGGUCCUGAGAGCACCCCUGGGAGGGGUGGGCUCCUGUCCUGGCCCCUUGAAGCCAGAAGGUCAGCCCAGGGGCGGAGCCAUGCCGCAGGACUCUGGAUUGAGCCACGGAGCAGAAGGUGGAUUUGAAACCGGGUUUGGAUGAAUUUCCCAAGAUUCACCAGCUUCCCAGGAUUUUUGGACCAAGGGAACUAAGGCCAACUUGCAGCCAGAGGGAAAAGGUGUGAGCAAACUCAUCAGGGACUGUUUACAUUUCUAUUG